GCCCACCACCCCCGCGCCGCCUGCCCACUCCCUCUCCUUCCCACCUUCUUUUCCCCGUUCGGCCGCCGCGGCCAUCCCCGCCUUCCACCACUCUGACUUCACGCUGCCCAGUAACUCCCCGGCCUCCCAUCGCCCUGCCCGCCCCACCUCCCACCGCUCUCACCUUCCAUCUCCAGCGCCAUCCCAUGACUCCUAGAAAUCACACCCCAUGGCAUCAGAUCUGAGUGGCAGGGGCCCGAUGGUGGCGCCAUCUUUCUCCUGCGUGAGCUCCCCUCGUCAAUGGCUCUGCUCCUGCCCAUGGCAAACCAAUACCCCAAGCUUCCUCUCCCCCACCUUUUCUAACUUCUCCCUGGAUGGCCACCGCCCCCUGCUCUGUUGACCAGAACAACCCCUCCUCCCCAUCCAUGGUGGUCGCCCCACCACCGCGGCCUGUCCCGGUGCCGGAUCCGGUGGGAUCCGCCUCAAGCGCCAUCGUCCCCAUGGGAUCCGGUGGGGUCCGCCUCCAGCGUCGUCGUCCCCAUGGGAUCUGCCUCCCGCCCCCUCCCUGUUGGCUACCUCCCUGCCGUGCCUGGAAACAGUGCCGCGCUGCCAGGCCCCGCCCCCAUCACACCAAUGAGCACAGCAGCCUCAACCUCCGACAAUGGAUCCAGGCACCCCCGGUCAGAUCACGCCCCAAGUACCCGCGCAGGCGCCGCCAAGUUCGUGGUUCGCCGCCCCUCUGUCCCCCUCUUCCACCUUCCAUCCUCCGUUGCUGGAGCAGCACGGCCCAUGGGCGUGCACUGCAUUGUGACUCCUCAUGCAGUGCAGAUUGGGCAUCAGCUCGCUGGAUCGAUGUGGAGGUUCCCAUGGGCCUCCUCUCCCAACUGCAUCGCCCUUCCCCGCGGCCUACUGCAAGCAUG